UACGAACUGCGCAAACGUUUAUUCGGAAUCACUGGGCUUACAGGGUGCGUAGGCGGCGGAGAAAGUAGGGUGUGAAAUGCCUUGGCUCAACCAAGGCACAGCGCUCUAAACUACUUCGCUCGAGUGAGUCAGGGGUACGCGGAACUUCCGGUGGAGCGGUGAAAUGUGGUUGAUAUCGGAAGGAACACCGGUGGCGAAAGGCGG
rnacentral:rRNA from 1 species